CCUACGGGCGGCUGCAGUGGGGAAUAUUGGACAAUGGGGGCAACCCUGAUCCAGCCAUGCCGCGUGUGUGAAGAAGGCCCUCGGGUUGUAAAGCACUUUCAGUGAGGAAGAACGCCUGGUGGUUAAUACCCAUCAGGAAAGACAUCACUCACAGAAGAAGCACCGGCUAACUCCGUGCCAGCAGCCGCGGUAAUACGGAGGGUGCGAGCGUUAAUCGGAAUUACUGGGCGUAAAGCGCGCGUAGGUGGCUUGAUAAGCCGGUUGUGAAAGCCCCGGGCUCAACCUGGGAACGGCAUCCGGAACUGUCAAGCUAGAGUGCAGGAGAGGAAGGUAGAAUUCUCGGUGUAGCGGUGAAAUGCGUAGAGAUCGGGAGGAAUACCAGUGGCGAAGGCGGCCUUCUGGACUGACACUGACACUGAGGUGCGAAAGCGUGGGUAGCAAACAGGAUUAGAUACCCCAGUAGUC
rnacentral:rRNA from 1 species